rnacentral:rRNA from 1 species
UAAUACGUAGGUGGCAAGCGUUGUCCGGAAUUAUUGGGCGUAAAGCGCGCGCAGGUGGUUCCUUAAGUCUGAUGUGAAAGCCCCCGGCUCAACCGGGGAGGGUCAUUGGAAACUGGGGAACUUGAGUGCAGAAGAGGAUAGUGGAAUUCCAAGUGUAGCGGUGAAAUGCGUAGAGAUUUGGAGGAACACCAGUGGCGAAGGCGACUGUCUGGUCUGUAACUGACACUGAGGCGCGAAAGCGUGGGGAGCAAACAGGAUUAGAUACCCUGGUAGUCCACGCCGUAAACGAUGAGUGCUAAGUGUUGGGGGGUUUCCGCCCCUCAGUGCUGCAGCUAACGCAUUAAGCACUCCGCCUGGGGAGUACGGUCGCAAGACUGAAACUCAAAUGAAUUGACGG